AAAUGCUAGAAAAUUGAAAUUAACAAUGCAGAUUAUACAUGAUCACACAUGAACACGGAAAUUUAAGAUUACAUAUAUAUAUCUAUAAUGUACGUAAAACGAUUGAACCGCGACAGCAAUUGUAUUGUCAAAUAUUUGUCUGCAUAUUGUUACUUCAUUCCGAACAGCCUUACUCUCACGCGGUAUCAAAGUCGAAUUUAAUAUUCUGUCCCACUCUAAACGAAAGCUCACUGCUUUAUGAUCUUCAGCGAGUUAAGCCUGUCUAUUCGCCAGGUCCCGACGGAAUUCCUGGCUUGUGUGCUUAGCCUCUGUGCGAAAGCCUUGUGCAAGCUUCUAAUGAAAGUGUUUAACUUAUCUCUUGAAUCUUCACAGUUCCCCAUAUAUGGAAGGAGUCCUUUGUGCUAUCUCUCUCAAAAAAAAAAAAGCACCUUUGUAGGUCAAUUAUAUCACCAUGUCAGCAUGGGUUCAUGAAACGCAGAUCAACAACUACUAACCUUCUGGAGCUUACCUCUUUCUUAGUAUAGGACUUCAAAAAUAAUCUUCAAACAUAUGUCAUUUAUACGGAUUUUAGUAAAGCAUUCGACUCUGUUAA